GACGAACGCUGGCGGCAUGCCUAAUACAUGCAAGUCGAGCGAACAGAUGAAGUGCUUGCACUUCUGACGUUAGCGGCGAACGGGUGAGUAACACGUAAGGAAUCUACCUAUAAGCGGGGGAUAACAUUCGGAAACGGGUGCUAAUACCGCAUAAUAUCUUCUUCCGCAUGGAAGAAGAUUGAAAGACGGCUCUGCUGUCACUUAUAGAUGACCUUGCGGUGCAUUAGUUAGUUGGUGGGGUAAUGGCCUACCAAGACGAUGAUGCAUAGCCGACCUGAGAGGGUGAUUGGCCACAUUGGGACUGAGGCACGGCCCAAACUCCUACGGGAGGCAGCAGUAGGGAAUCUUCCGCAAUGGGCGAAAGCCUGACGGAGCAAUGCCGCGUGAGUGAAGAAGGCCUUCGGGUCGUAAAACUCUGUUAUAAGAGAAGAACAAAUUGUAGAGUAACUGCUACAGUCUUGACGGUAUCUUAUCAGAAAGCCACGGCUAACUACGUGCCAGCCGCCGUAAUAC
rnacentral:rRNA from 1 species